rnacentral:rRNA from 1 species
GUUUAACACGGAUGCAAGUAUUUGGGUGAUUGGAAACCCAUAUGCGCAAUGAAAGUGACCUUACCAAGGUAGGAAGUCUCGGUAUGGGCGUUAAAACCUAUCCGGGAUUGCACUAUCGACCAAUGUUGACUAGCUUCGGCUUGAUAGAUUUGAGUAAGAGCAUGUAUGUUGGGACCCGAAAGAUGGUGAACUAUGCCUGAAUAGGGUGAAGUCAGACGAAAGUCUGAUGGAAGCUCGUAGCGAUUCUGACGUGCAAAUCGAUCGUCAAAUUUGGGUAUAGGGGCGAAAGACUAAUCGAACCAUCUAGUAGCUGGUUCCUGCCGAAGUUUCCCUCAGGAUAGCAGAAACUCAUUGACCUAGUUUUAUGGGGUAAAGCGAAUGAUUAGAGGCCUUGGGGUUGAAACAACCUUAACCUAUUCUCAAACUUUAAAUAUGUAAGAAAGGCGGGUUGCUUAAUUGAACCUGUCCUUUUGAAUACCGAGUUUCUAGUGGGCCAUUUUUGGUAAGCAGAACUGGCGAUGUGGGAUGAACCAAACAUGGAGUUAAAGUGCCAGAGUUCACGCUCAUUUAGACACCACAAAAGGUGUUGGUUCAUCUAG